GACGAACGCUGGCGGCGUGCCUAAUACAUGCAAGUCGAACGAACCGCGACUAGGUGCUUGCACUUGGUCAAGGUGAGUGGCGAACGGGUGAGUAACACGUGGGUAACCUACUUCAUAGUGGGGGAUAACAGUCGGAAACGACUGCUAAUACCGCAUAGGACAUAGGAUCACAUGAUCCAGUGAGGAAAGGUGGCGCAAGCUAUCGCUAAGAGAUGGACCCGCGGUGCAUUAGCUAGUUGGUAGGGUAAAGGCCUACCAAGGCGAUGAUGCAUAGCCAACCUGAGAGGGUGAUCGGCCACAUUGGGACUGAGACACGGCCCAAACUCCUACGGGAGGCAGCAGUAGGGAAUCUUCCGCAAUGGACGCAAGUCUGACGGAGCAACGCCGCGUGAGUGAAGAAGGUCUUCGGAUCGUAAAGCUCUGUUGUUAGAGAAGAACAGCGCAUAGAGUAACUGUUAUGCGUGUGACGGUAUCUAACCAGAAAGCCACGGCUAACUACGUG
rnacentral:rRNA from 1 species